GUGGUCGGUGUACAGGUGGUGCAUGGCUGUCGUCAGCUCGUGUCGUGAGAUGUUGGGUUAAGUCCCGCAACGAGCGCAACCCUUGUCCCGUGUUGCCAGCAGGCCCUUGUGGUGCUGGGGACUCACGGGAGACCGCCGGGGUCAACUCGGAGGAAGGUGGGGACGACGUCAAGUCAUCAUGCCCCUUAUGUCUUGGGCUGCACACGUGCUACAAUGGCCGGUACAAUGAGCUGCGAUACCGCGAGGUGGAGCGAAUCUCAAAAAGCCGGUCUCAGUUCGGAUUGGGGUCUGCAACUCGACCCCAUGAAGUCGGAGUCGCUAGUAAUCGCAGAUCAGCAUUGCUGCGGUGAAUACGUUCCCGGGCCUUGUACACACCGCCCGUCACGUCACGAAAGUCGGUAACACCCGAAGCCGGUGGCCCAACCC
rnacentral:rRNA from 1 species